AUUGAACGCUGGCGGCAGGCCUAGCACAUGCAAGUCGAGCGGAUGAAGGGAGCUUGCUCCUGGAUUCAGCGGCGGACGGGUGAGUAAUGCCUAGGAAUCUGCCUGGUAGUGGGGGAUAACGUCCGGAAACGGGCGCUAAUACCGCAUACGUCCUGAGGGAGAAAGUGGGGGAUCUUCGGACCUCACGCUAUCAGAUGAGCCUAGGUCGGAUUAGCUAGUUGGUGGGGUAAAGGCCUACCAAGGCGACGAUCCGUAACUGGUCUGAGAGGAUGAUCAGUCACACUGGAACUGAGACACGGUCCAGACUCCUACGGGAGGCAGCAGUGGGGAAUAUUGGACAAUGGGCGAAAGCCUGAUCCAGCCAUGCCGCGUGUGUGAAGAAGGUAUUCGGAUUGUAAAGCACUUUAAGUUGGGAGGAAGGGCAGUAAGUUAAUACCUUGCUGUUUUGACGUUACCAACAGAAUAAGCACCGGCUAACUUCGUG
rnacentral:rRNA from 1 species